GGAGAAGGAAAUGGCAACCCACUCCAGUGUUCUUGCUUGGAGAAUCCCAGGAACGGGGGAGCCUGGUGGGCUGCUUUCUAUGGGAUCGCACAGAGUCGGACACUGCUGAAGCGACCUAGCAGCAGCCAGUUCCAGCAAACAGUCGUGAAUUCAGUAAGGUGCCUUGUCUAUGUUUAUUUCUAUGGGUUCUUCAUAUAAAUUCUUAAAAAAAUAAAAAAGGUAUAAUAGUUCUCUGCCUGCAAAACACUUCAUUGGUUUUACAGUGUGACUUGAGUCUUGUGUUUUCUCUCCCAAUUGCAUGCCUCAGCGAAUAAUCCUUACUUUGGCUUCCAUGUGCAUUUAAUCUUAAUCCUCUCAGUCAUUUAGCCUUGUUGCCACUCUCCUGUCUCUUGCAGUUGAUCCCUAAAAGUUUAAAAGCCAAAAUGUCACAUUUUUCUUAAAAUGAGGAAAUUCUAGAACCUAAAAAAUAGCAUUUAAUAAUCUAGUGCUUAUGUCUUCACCUAAAUGUUUACUUCUCAAUUGCACUUUUGGUAUAAGAAUAAAAUGUAUAGACAUUUUGAUACCAUGCAUACGUCGGUUACUAAAAUUGCCAACAAAGUGUGGUUUUUAUUAGUUUUUUUUUAUUUCAAAGAAAAUGCUAAGCAAUAUAGAUCAAUAAACUUCUCUUUCAAAUAUAUGGUUUGCAAAAUAAAUAACAUUUAAAAUAAAUCCUGAUCAGACUUUUUUGUAAAUUCAUUGUCAGAUCUUUUAUGGUCGAUCACAUACUGAAAGCAGCUCUCAGAUUUGCUGCUUCUAGAGCAUCAUGUUCCAAGCUGUGUUCCUUGAAACACUAUUGUCUUGAAAGAAGUCAAUAAGUAUUUCUUUUGGAAAGAAAUUUUCAUGGUCCAGUAUAUUUAGGAAAUGUUCAGUUGUUAUUAGUUCACAGGGUUUUUUGACCAUGAAGCUUCCAGAGCCUUUAAUUUGCUGGUGUACCCAGCCCUGUAACUCUAAAAAAGACCAUAGUUUGCACUGUGAAUUAAGUGUUUUUAGAGGCAUACUACAAACAGGGCACUAGUAUUAGCAGGAGUAAUUUUUAGGAAAGAUUCUUCUGGAAUAUAAACUAUUUUUUAUUCAUAUGGUAUGGUGUGGUUUUAUUUAUACCUUUUUUUUUUAACUUUUUAUCCAACCCUAGAUUAAAAAUUAAUAUAAAAUACUAAGGGAAUUAUUACUCAAAAUUUUACCCUUCUCAGAAAUGUGUUCUCAACCUACUCAAUAUUAAUGAACAGAAGAUAGAAAUAAGAGAUCUUACCACUAGGUGGUGAUAAAAUCACCACUCAGAAAGUGCAGCAUUCCAAUGGUAUCUAAGGUAUUGAGCCUGACAUGCUAGAAUUUGUAUUGUCUAGAGCUGUGGUCCUUAAACUUUGGUGUCUACAAGAGUCACCUCAGGUGUUUGUUUAGAAUGCAGGUACACUGAUUCUGUUAGGUUUGGGUUGGGUUUUUUGACAAGGCCUCUGAGUGACUCUGCAUCAUUGGCAUUGACUUUGUGGUAUACUGACCUAAAGAGAGUCCAUAUUUGGACCUUAGGUUGGACUGUUGUAAAAGUAAGACACUGAGAAGUUGCCAAGUUGUUUACCUCGAGCAUUUUUUAGAAUUAAGCAUCUGCUUUCCCUCAAUUUAUUAUCAAUAAAUAUGAAUUAGCAUAAGAAAUUGAAAACCACAAGCCAUCUCACAAAUAGCAAAAUGUCAGGCCAGCUUUUUCCUAUUGGCAGAUGUUUUUCAAUGUUUCUGAAGGAUGGUAAUUAUUUGCUUUAUGUCAUUCAAAGCUUCUACCUAAUUUUAUUUUCUAUUUACAUUUAUUUUGAAGUGAAUUAUGUUAAUAAGCGAAUCAGAUUUUGGCUCUGAAGAAGUUCCUAAAUCUGUGUCCUUCUUUUUAAAUGGCAAAGAGCUUGAAGGUGAUAUCAUCAGUAUAUAAAAAAUUGAAGUAGAAUAAUCACAAGGGUACAGAAAUCAUGUCUACAUAUAAACAGUAACUCAAGAACAGUGGAUCCUAUGAACUGAAGGUAUGGUAUUGCUAGGGGGUCAAACAGAAACAUUUAGUUAAAAUAUGAAAUUGCAGUUCAUUCAUUACAAUGACCAUGCUGUAUUUAGUUAGAAUUGUCCUCAGGAGAAUAUGCAGGUCCCACUACACUGUGAGAAAGUUAACAGGUCCUGUGAGAAUCCACGUGAGUGGUUAUCACAGGAAAAGAAAGUCCAGUGACCAUUGUAUAUGAGUUGUAGCCACUAUCUAAACGUCCAGGUCCACAUGAGCUAGCUGACCUGCAAGCUGACCAAGACUGCAGCUUCUGUGGCACCUAGAAACUGCCUUUCCGACCAUACUGCUGCAGAAGUGGUGCGAGGAAGGCCUUAGCAGACUGUUUAAGGAAAGUCAUUGGUGUUUGAGAUGCAAAAGUCAGGAAUGUGUGAAAAGGCAAGUACUGUUUUUCACAAGUAAUUGGGAAACUGCUGGGUACAGUAGGGUAACCACAGUGCUUACCCACAGAUAUUCCUGUUAAUCUACACUCUGAACUUGCCUGCCUCUCUUUCCAUUUCUGAUCUUGUAGGUAAGUGGUGUUACUAGUAAUUUUCUUGUUCAGAUAAUACCGUUUUCCAGUGUUAGUAAUUUAUAGGUCACGGCAUUUAUUAGCACAGAGUUCUUAGGGAUUUUGUUUCUUUUAUUUUUGUGGGGUUUUUUUUAAUGCUAAAAUAAGAGAUUUAAAGUCACCUAAAUAGAGUUAUCUACUACUUUACAGGAAGAUCUGAUAUAUUAAAAUACAUAAUGUUCCUUUCAUCAUCGACAAACUCUGUUAUUUUGGUUUGGGGCCCCAGUUAAGCACAAAAAAACUUUCUUCUUCUUCCGCAUUAGUACAUUAGUAAUUUAAGAACCGUAACUGUCCAUUGACUUUGGGGGAAGGUAGAGAAGGGAUCACCUUACUUGGAGAAUCCCAGGGACAGGGGAGCCUGGUGGGCUGCCGUCUGUGGGGUCGCACGGAGUCGGACAUGAUUGAAGUGACGCAGCAGCGGCAGCAGCAGCAGAGAAGGGAUCACAAUUUGUUACUUGUAGGACUGACUUUAGGAAGAACCUGUAGUAGUGGAGGAGAGCACUGGGACUGACUGACUGACCAGCUUUGUCCGUAUCAAAAUUGGACCAACAAUGGCAAAGAAAAAGUAUACUUGAAGAGAGUACCCAUCUUUUCUUUACCAUUGCAAACUCUUGUGAGGGUUCAUCUCCUAUUAGUACCAUAUUGGCUUAAUCCUUUCAUCAGAACUCCAGCAGGGUUCACUUUCUACCACUUAAACCCCAAAUCUGGAAACUGUAGACACUGUAAUAUGGUCCCAUCUUUUACCCAGCCCAGUCUUACGUUACUGCAGUGACUCAAAGUAAGUAAUAAUAAAUAGAAUGGAAUUAGAUCUUCUUACAACAUCCUGCAAGAUUAGCAGUGUGCCUGAAAUAAUACCCAGUUUCUGUUUAAUAGCUUUGAGUUACUUGUAAUAUAGCAAUGUAUCAUGUUUUCUGAGUCUUGUUAAUAUCUUUGUCUUUAGUUCUCCCAAGAGUGUAUUUCAUGUGUGAUAUCAACAUGGCCUUUUGAGGCCUGUAUCCUCAUCUAGAACAUAAAAUAAUAAAGGCUGUGUAAACAAAUACUUGCAACCCCCUUCUCCCAACUUUCUGCAAGAAUACCCUUGAAAACAUUUAAGAAAAAAAAAUUGGUAUCAUUCAUAGAAACUUGAAUAGAUAAGAAUAAGUAGAUACAUUGGUAAGAAUAGUAGAUACUAGGAGAAAUGUUUACUAUAAAGCAGUAAAGAUGUGCAUUUUAUUUAAUAGCCGACUCAAAUCCCACAUUGAAACAACUUGUCACGUAAAACAAGAUGAUACCUUAGCUUCCCACCUUCUAACACUCCUUAUUAACUUGUGUAUAAGAAGGCUAUACUAAUAAUUUAAGAUAGCUAUUGAGAGUCCCAUCAGAAAAGGCUCUCAUUCUGCAUUUCUUAACUAGUGGCCCUGAAGCCGCACCGUCUUGGAGCUUUUCCUUAACCAAGAGAACCACAGCAGACAUUCACCGUGGGGUGGAGAGAGUUGUGGAAGAGAUCCCACCUUUGACCGGAAGAGCAGUGCUGAAUGACAAAGGCAGCGCAAGCCGCCCAGAAAGACCUUCCGCCAUCAGCAGAUUUAGAACACUUAGAGCAGGAUUGUUUUAAAUACUCAUCCUCUAUCCUAAGAACUUUGGUCUUAUUGCAUGAAAAUCCCUUAGCCUUUUCCACCCUAAGCUUAGAUCUACAGACAUCCUUGCGUUUCCUGGAGAAAUGGAAUGGGCCUGAUAUUUCAGACAAUGUGCUGGAUAUUAAUUAGCAUUUUAGUGAACUCUGAAAGAGCUUAAAGCAGUCCCUGUGGUCUGCCAAUUCUGAAAUCAGCCUGGCUAAAUGUGUCCUCAUUGAGAUAUGAGCAAGAGAGUUACGCUACUGGCACCUGACAAAAGAAGGCCAAGAAAGGGUUGCAGUUGUCUUCUUUUGGCAGAGGAAGGGAGGAUUGGGUAAAUUUCUUUAGUCUUCGUGAAGAAACAUUAAAACAUUCUCUCAUUAAAACAUUUUUUACUUUGACAUUUAAUGUAAGUUGAAUCUUUUUAAAAUCAGUUAAAUGCUCAGUAAUGCUAGUCAUCAAGGAAACAUUAAAACCACAGUAAGAUACCCCUCCACUGGUAAGAGCAGCAAAAAUUAAGGUAUCAGCAAUACCAGAUGCUGGUAUGAGUGUGGAGCAACAGGAUCUCUCAUAACCUGCUGAUGGGAGUGUAAAUUGGUUCAACCACUUAAGAAAUAUUUGACAAAUACCUGUUAAUGUUAAAACAUACAUCUACCCUCAACUCACCAGUUCCACUGCUAACGUGUGUAUCCAGAAAAGAUAAGAAAAUAUAUGUACCGAAGACAUGAACUUUAUGGUAGCUCAAAGUAGAAGCAACCCCUGAUGUCCAUCAGCAGAAUGGAUACUGUGAAGUACUCUAUAGUGAGGAAAUGAGCUCACUUGUUUGCUACAUGUAUUAAUUUGGAUGAAUCUUAUAAACAUACUGGCCAAGGAACCAACAAAAGAAAAUGCCGUAUGAUUCCCACUUGUGAAAGGGUUCAGAAACAAAACUUAAGCAGAAUUCAUUGGAGAGGGGUCACAGAGGGAUAAAAGGGGGCUUAUGGUAUACUGGUGAUCUUGUCUGUCUGGAUCAGUGUGGUGAUAACUGAGAUAAGCCCUUUGAGUUGUGCUUUUUAUGUUUUAUGCAUGUUUGUAUUUGUCUUACACAUCAUUUAAAGUUUUGGUUUCUUAAUGUAUUAAAUAGUAUCAACAUGAGGCUAAUGAAACAGACACUCCUGCAGUGUAAGAGAACAGCAGUAGUCAGAGGCAUUUAGAAUAAAGGGUUUUCUGUAUCCAUCCAAUACAUUUAAAGCAGAAAGUAUUAGAAAAUACCUGCGUCAGCUCCUGCUCAGGUACAACAGGGCAUUAUGAUGACAAGAACACGAGAAGAGUGAGAAAGAAGGAAAAGAUAGGGAGAAGCUAAAUUAAAAGUUGUGUCAGAAAUAACGAAUAGUCACAGAUUAAAGAAAAUCUAACCCAUAAUGAAGAACAGUAACUAUCACACUGAUUGCAGAAUCUUAUGGGUUCUCAUGAACCAGCAAAGGGAAGAAAGAAGGGUUUCCCCCAACUUGUUAUCAACCAGAUUAAAGCUGUCUUCAUCAGUGUUCUAAACUGUGCUUAAUAAGCUCUCCUCUAAGGAAUUCUGCAACUUAAAUAAAUUACAAUAAAUCAAAAGCACCGACACAUGACUAUAUUGAGAGAAAAGGUGGAGAUACAAAAGGCUGAUACUGAAGAUUUAUCCUUUGAGUAAUAGAUGUUCCCAAAGAAGGCAAGAUGAAUUAAACAAAAAAAAUAGUUUAAUAGAAGAAACCUUGAUUUUUAAAAGGGCUCAAGUCUGAAGAUCUUCAUCUGCACAUUAGAUGCCAGCUGGAAUGGAACAGUGUCUACAGGGUUGUGUAGUUCAGGAUUUCUUUACUCCAGAUGUGAAGGUAACAGAAAAGGAUUCUCUGAUGUUCAUUGUACUGCUCAUUUGGAAAAAAGUACUAUAUAGGAAAAAAGUACUUGAAUAUAAUCAACACGUUGCCAGAAUGAAUCAAAAUUCAGAAUAAAAGAAUGAGGAAAGAUGAGUUGGUGAGUAUUGAAAUCAAUGCAACUGUUAGAGUAAUACAGAUAAUUAUUGUAAAUCUAAUAUUGAAAGCACAAUUUAUUAAAUAGUCUGAGCGAAGGCCAAGAAAGUAUGGAAAUUUCCCUUUUUUUGUGGGGGGUGGAGAAUGAAGUGAGAAAUUCUUUUGUAAAGAAAAAAUGUGUUUUUUACUUGGAAAAUUAAGUGUAAAUUUAACAGUGAAAUCUGUCAUGGUGGAUAACAAUAAAAUUAAUAAUAAUG